UGGAUCCUGAGGUCCUGGACCCUGAGGUCCUGGAUCCUGAGGUCCUGGAUCCUGAGGUCCUGGACCCUGAGGUCCUGGACCCUGAGGUCCUGGACCCUGAGGUCCUGGACCCUGAGGUGGACGGUCACAGAACAUGACCAGGUAAACAACACAGGAGCAUCUUUAACAUUAAAGCUUUAAUUCAUCUGAACUCAAACACCAACAGUUGGCUCCUUGGAUCAACAUCUUUAAAAGUUAAAAACUAAAUUAAAUAUGAACAAAAGGAUCUUAAAUGUGUUUUGGUUUGUUGUAAAAUKAUCAGCUCCUGCAGCUAAACUGAAGCCAUAAAAAUCUGAGGGAUAAACUUCUGAUAACUCCAUCAUCUAAUGAAACUGUAUAAAAUGUGAAAAUAAUCAGUUUGAACACUUCUGCUGCUKUAAACCAAGGCCUGAUGGUUGUUUCUGUAAAACAUUAGGAGUCAUGUCUGCAGAUUGUAGCACCAAGAACUGUAACAGGAAGUACAGUUAGAAGAGGCAGACGAUUAAAUGUCACUUUGUGAUUAAAUGUUUUUAAGUUUUUACUCCUCAUUUAUCAGUAUUUACAUUUUA